AGUCCUGCUGACCACGGUGGGUGAGGCCGCACACUGCCCUUCCCUACCUGUGGCGCUGGGGGUCAGGCACAGGCCAGGGACCGAGCUCCUGGUGGCCUCGCGCUGGGCAUCUCUGGGCCACGGGGUGACAGUGCGGUCACCUGGGCCAGCUGACCCCCGUGCCCAAGAGCUCGCUCCGGUCACAGGGACGCUGGGUGCGACGUCUCUGGCCUGUGCCUCCCUAACCCUCAGCCGUGCUCCCUUCCUCCUCUCUGUCGGGCAGGUGUGCGGUACACGCAGGGUCGCCUCGUUUAACGCGACACAACGGAGACCAGUCGCCGUCCAGUCUUGUGCUGCCCACGGGACAGUUAUUUAUAAGUUACAGAAUAGAGGCUAAGUAAAUGUUUGCUUACAACCAUCCGAACAUUCCCUUCCUGCAACAGAAAUGAUGUCAAAAACAAGAGGACUAAAGCAACCCCACACUGAAAAUGCUUCAGACAAUAGAUGAACUCUGUGGAAUAAAAUAUACUUCGCUCUAUCCCA
rnacentral:lncRNA from 12 species